rnacentral:lncRNA from 1 species
UUCACUUCAUUACAAGAAUAAGGGUUACUCCCUCUAUCUAUAGAUUUAGUUUAACGUGGACCUUAAGCCAAAUCCCAAAACUAUAAAAGCCCAAAAUAGCUAACACUACUAAAAUAGGCCUAAGUCGAAAUCUUAUCUGAAGCAACAUGCUUCAACAUUUCGACACACUAAUACAACUCAACACACUAGGUGGUUCGACACUCCUUUGCUUCUAUCAAGCAACCUGCUUCGACACAAGGAAUUACAAUUCAACACACAAUUUAAUUCAUU